GCCGGGAGCCAGCCUGUGCCCGCGCGGGGGGUGGGGGGCGAGGCUGGAGACCUGGUUUCGACCGGCGCGCACCCGGCGCUGAACCGGGUCUGGAACCUGCCCUCGGCCCGCUCGCCCUCUCCCUCUCACCAUCCCGCUCCCCUCCCCCCUCCCAUCUCCGUCUCCCACUCCGCACGGGUGCCGGGAACUUUCUGGGGUGCUAUCUGAGAACUUUACAUGCAUUAUGGCCUCACAGCAACUCUCUAAGCUGCUGCAUCGCGAGGCCUUAGCCCACCUGUGAUUCGGAGCUGAGGAGCAAAUCAAAGCCAGGUGCAGCUGUAUUGGGAUACUCCUCUUUCUGGCUGGGUGACACUUUGCCUUUGGAAGCACUCGAGUUCAAGUUCACCACUCAAGCAUAAGCAAAGUGACAACAUGUGACUAAGAGAAUGUGUUUGCUGUUCCCCCUGCCUGGAAAACCCUUCUCCCAGGUCUUCCCAUGGCUAGCUCCAUCACAUGAUCCAGGCUUCAGCAUGAAUGUUGCUCCCCUGAGACAGGCCUUCCCAGAACAUUCCACAGCUGUCUGAGGAUGUGUAGUUUGUGCAUCACAAAAGCAUUGUGCAGAGGGGGUGAGUGCAGCCAACAUCUGGCCCAUGCUGUGCUCCUCAAGGAUUUCAUAAAAGAAAGCCUCUGAAGUGUAGGCAGAGACCUUGGACACUGUACCUAAAUUACCACCCUCUACCUCCCAUACUUGCUCUCACAUUGUCCACUUUUGACUUCAUAGCAUGUAUUGGUGCUACCUGAAAUGAUGUAUUUUAUAUACUUAAAAUUAUAUUAUUUAUCUACUUGUUACCUGUCUCCUCCCACCACAAUGUAAGCCUCACAGAAGCAAGGACUGUAUCUGUCUUGUUCCUGCCGUCCCCCCAAUGCCUGACAUAUAGCAGGUGCUCAAUAAACAUCUACUAGUGAGUGGA